GCCGGUGUGGCUCAGUGGACAGAGCGUCCGCCUGUGGACGGAAGGGUCCCGGGUUCGAUUCCCCAGCGAGGGCA
rnacentral:tRNA from 1 species